rnacentral:rRNA from 1 species
GACGAACGCUGGCGGCGUGCUUAACACAUGCAAGUCGAACGGAAAGGCCCUGCUUUUGUGGGGUGCUCGAGUGGCGAACGGGUGAGUAACACGUGAGUAACCUGCCCUUGACUUUGGGAUAACUUCAGGAAACUGGGGCUAAUACCGGAUAGGAGCUCCUGCUGCAUGGUGAGGGUUGGAAAGUUUCGGCGGUUGGGGAUGGACUCGCGGCUUAUCAGCUUGUUGGUGGGGUAGUGGCUUACCAAGGCUUUGACGGGUAGCCGGCCUGAGAGGGUGACCGGCCACAUUGGGACUGAGAUACGGCCCAGACUCCUACGGGAGGCAGCAGUGGGGAAUAUUGCACAAUGGGCGGAAGCCUGAUGCAGCAACGCCGCGUGCGGGAUGACGGCCUUCGGGUUGUAAACCGCUUUCGCCUGUGACGAAGCGUGAGUGACGGUAAUGGGUAAAGAAGCACCGGCUAACUACGUGC